AAAUUGAAGAGUUUGAUCAUGGCUCAGAUUGAACGCUGGCGGCAGGCCUAACACAUGCAAGUCGAACGGUAACAGGAAGCAGCUUGCUGCUUUGCUGACGAGUGGCGGACGGGUGAGUAAUGUCUGGGAAACUGCCUGAUGGAGGGGGAUAACUACUGGAAACGGUGGCUAAUACCGCAUAACGUCGCAAGACCAAAGAGGGGGACCUUCGGGCCUCUUGCCAUCAGAUGUGCCCAGAUGGGAUUAGCUAGUUGGUGAGGUAACGGCUCACCAAGGCGACGAUCCCUAGCUGGUCUGAGAGGAUGACCAGCCACACUGGAACUGAGAC
rnacentral:rRNA from 1 species